UCAUUUUAAACAAAAUAUACUAGAAUGUUCCAUUCCUGCUCUCUUCCUAUGAUUCAACCACUCUCUCAGGUUUAUUCUUCUCUUGCUCCAUUUGAAUUUUAUUACAUCUAUUUAUUUUAUGAAUGUCCAUCUCAUCUAAGACCAUAUGAAUGGAAAUUGCAUCUCAUUCUUACUUCUCUUCUAUUAAUUAGUUGCUCUGCCAUCUUCCUAUACGAACUUUUUGACUGAUUGAUUUCAAACUGGGUUGAAUUGCAAGGUAAAUUGGUCUGCUGCAUAUUAGAGUGGGAUAAACUUCUUCUACUCCAACACAGGCAAGGACCCAAUUCAUACUUCUCUCUACGUAAUUCUUUAUAUACUUUAAAAAUUGAUCCACAUUUAUCUAUUGCUACUUAAUGAGUUACUAUUUCUUAAAUGGAUUUGUUACGAAAUUAUCGAGUCACAGCAAUUUUCGAUUUUCCUGUAGCAGGUUGGGUCAUGUUUAAAUGGAUGUUUCUAAUCUUUUAAAUGGUUGGGUUGCAAAAGAAAUAUGAACAACAAUAUUUAAUAUGCCCUAAAAGUGUCGAUUGACUUUUGAGUUACAAUUGGCAAAAUAUAAUAAUUUUUUGUUAUAAAACAAAGUAAAGUGGCUUUCACAAACACUUUCUUUCAGUGACCUUCCGAGAAAUUGACUCGGGAUUUAAUGAUGGUUUUAAUAUUUUCUAAUUUGUUAUUAUAAUAGUUGAAGCGCUAUCCUUUUCGGGUCUUGCUGGAUCGGAGGAGUAAAACUUUCAUUCAAUAUGUUCUUUUGUUUUAUGAAUGCUGACCCAUUUCAUUUUUGAUGUGUUAUUUCUGAAUUUUAAAGUAGUAUCAUUCGCCCUUUUUAUUCUUCAUUUUUCUUCUUUCUCACAAAUUGUAUUUGAUAGAUGAAUGAGCUCAUAUUUUGAAAAGUUGGAAUCGGAUAGAAAAAGUCUAUAUUUGCCUAUAUGCAUCUUAAAAUUGUACGAAUUGAUGUUCAAAAUUUUUAUUCGUAGUUUUGUUUUCUACCCUCCAAAUUAAGCUGUCAUGUUCACUCUUAUUGUCUCUAUCAUGCAAGUUUGGCUAAGAUAUUUUCUAUAAUAAUUUGUGUUGCAUCUGUCUUGAAGGUUGACAUUGGUCUAGCUAUGGGCUUUCAAGGAACAGGGUCGCCAAAUAAAGCUUGAUGUCAUAAUACUGGAUGAUAAUUUUGUUGUUGUAAAGGUUUGUGUAUCGACGCGUUGUCAUCUUUUACUCGAAGUUUUCAGGCUCCUUUUCUUAUUAAAGGUAAAAUGUCUUGCAUUGUUUACUUGAGGAAAUUUAGCAUAUUUUUAAUAUAGUACUUUAAAGAUGUCUCUAAUGUUUUCAUAAAAUUUGUAUUGGCAUAUAUGAUAUUCCCAUAAGUCAACCAAUUAAGAAACUAAUUUUGAUUAGUAAUAAAACUGCCUAUGCUUACGCAUGAUUCAUGUGAAAAAAUGUGCAGCAAAACCUAAUGUGAUCUUGAUAUUUACUUAAAAACUGUUAGUUUUCCUUUACUUUCUGUUGAAAAUCAGCAUUUAGUUGAUUCUUCUUAACAGAAAGGAAACUUUCCUGCACUUUACUGAAAGAGAAAAAGCAUCAAGUUGAUGAUAAACACAUACUUCCAUUUAACAGUAAAUACAUACAUAGGGAGCUUUAAAUAUGUUAACUUAGAAAAAAAAAGGAAAUUUAAAUAUGUCAAACUGGAAAAAAUACUACUUUAUUCUUGUAUCCCUGUGAAAAAAUAUUCAAAGUUAUUAGAUCAGCUACACAUCAAUAUAGAAACAAAGUCAGAGAAGAUAAACGAAAAGGAAAGCAACAAGCAUGGCAAAUCAAAUUCUUGUUAGGAAAAUUCAAGAAGCUAAUGUGUCCAAUUAGAACUAUAAGUAAUCCUAAUAGACAAAAUUUGUCUGAUGUCUUACAAUAAAUUUUGCAGCUUCAACCAAUAGUGAUUGUUGAAUCGCAAGUUUAUGUGAGAAAGUGACAUAAAAGAAAAUGAAAUUGCAAGGAUAUAUUUGAAGACUCAUUCACUUUACUUUAUUUUGUGAUUUUAUAUAUAAAUUUUUUGGGUAUUAGAAUACCUGGAGCUUAGUAUGGAU
rnacentral:lncRNA from 1 species